rnacentral:misc_RNA from 1 species
UCGCGUCUUACGACGGCAGUUUCUCCAGAGUUCCCGGCAUUACCCGUUGGCAACUGAAGAUAAGGGUUGCGCUCGUUGCGGGACUUAACCCAACACCUCACGGCACGAGCUGACGACAGCCAUGCAGCACCUGUGCAGCAGUCCCGAAGGAAAGCACCAUUUCUGGUGCGGUCUACUGCAUGUCAAGCCUGGGUAAGGUUCUUCGCGUUGCAUCGAAUUAAACCACAUGCUCCACUGCUUGUGCGGGUCCCCGUCAAUUCUUUUGAGUUUCACCCUUGCGAGCGUACUCCCCAGGUGGCAUACUUAACGCGUUAGCUCCGAAACAGAAAGGGUUGAGCCCUCCUACUUCUAGUAUGCAUCGUUUACGGCUAGGACUAC